rnacentral:lncRNA from 1 species
CUGUCUCAAAAAAACCAAAACCAAAAAAUAAAAAGACAAAUAUCCUGAGGACACAUAGUAUAUUGGAGCUGAGAGGACGCCAAAGAUUAUAUAAGAUGUUUAUUGGUGAACAACUUGGAAUAUAAAGUGAAGACUCAAAGGAUUCAUUUGGCUCUGUUCAUUCUGUUUCCAGUGGAAAUAUGAAGUACGCAUAAAAUAUGGAGCCACUGAAAUCGUCUCUUCCAAUCAGCUCUGUUUCUUUUGUAAUCAUCCACAAAAUUUGGUUACAUUGAAAUUUUUCCUGGGGAAAAGGUCAUCUGUUUUCAAAACCUCUGAAAUUGACAUCUCAAACCUGAAAAGGGACCUAAGAGGAAGUGACAGGACUUGGAGCUCACCCUUCCAAGAAAGAUCAUCCUAACUGCCCAUCAUGGGUACAGCAGAGGCUCUGCCUGAAAAAGCAAAAUGUCUUACUUUAAAGAUCACAAGGCAAGAUUUUCUUCAAGAAGCAAACACUCUCAUUGCUCAACAUUAUGAGAAAAUAAAUGAGGUUACGGCUUUUCAUUUAUCUAAUAUUGUUAAUUGUUAUUAGUUAAUGAUAACUAUUUUUUGUGUACUACAAUGGUUGUUCCAAAGGAUUGCAUGAAUCCUAGCAUGAGAUAGGUUCUUAAUAGGGGAGCAAAUGAAAUACUUAGUAGCUGAAAAAAUUGAUUUUAAAUGACAUUUAAAAAUAAGAUUACUUAGUUCUACAAAUUAUUUAAUUCUUCAUAUAUAUUUAGUUGUACAUGCAAAACAAUUUUGACAAUUUCUUUUGAUGAAUUAUAACACACUAAUAAAUAACCUUUGAGUUCUAGUUGGAUGAGCUAAGGUGAAAAAUCUACUGUGCUACGCAUAUCUUUUGUGCCCUUAGUUUGAUGCCCUUACCUGUGUCUUCCCCCACGUGGGUUUGCAUUAGAACCGUCUGUCUGCCAGGCAGGUAGCUAUUCAAGGACAUAGACUGUCUUUUUUGUAUGUUGUAUCUCAAGGGACAAACACUCUGCCUCACUAAUUAAGUAUCUACUGGAUAGCGUAGGUUUGGAAGGUGAGCAAAGAGGGCAAAAGGGGAUGGGAUGGCAUAGAAGGAUCCACAGAGUAACUUGGGGAGGGGUCAGCUUUGUGACAAAUGGACCUUUGGG